GGGCGGACGGCGAACGCCGAGCUAAGGCAUGCGCUUUGAGAUUGAGACGCUUUUGGAAAACAACUCGGGUCCGGCUACGGUUCCGGCUUAGAGGCGUUCAGCCGUUAUCGCUCAGAGGCAGCUUGGCACCACCGCUCUAUCGAGCGAGCGCGCAAACCGGGAGCAGCAGCAGCG